rnacentral:snRNA from 1 species
GUGGUCUUUCUGUUUUGUUGGACUGGGCAAUCAGAUUAACUUGAGCAGCACAUAUUCUAAAAUUGGAAUGAUACAGAGAAGAUGAGCACAGCCCCACGGUGACACACAAAUUCAUGAAAUGCUCCAUAUAUUU